AGGUUUUGUUUUUUCAACUUUUUUGUAGUUCUCAAAUUAUUUUGAAAUUUAACGACAUUUUUUGACAAUACACUCAAAACUUGAGACGAAUCCUUUGAAUAAGAAAUACGGUAAGAUAUUCGGGGAAAAUAUGGGCCAAUUUUAAUAUAUAGUAGGUCAGUACUCAUUGAUCCAAAACACUGAUUCACUUUCUAAAUUUAAUAUUUUAUACAGUCAGAAACAUUCAACAAGGCAACCCCUAAAUAACCAGAACAGAAUAGAAAACGUGAACAUGUGAGCAUCAAUAUUAAUAAAGUGAGUAUUUAAAAAUUUUCUAAGUAAUAUAUUAAUAUCAAAGUACAGCAAGUACAACUCGUC